rnacentral:rRNA from 1 species
AGUGAACGCUGGCGGUAUGCCUAACACAUGCAAGUCGAACGGCAGCACAGUAAGAGUUUCCUUACACCGGUCGAGAGUGGCGGACGUGUGAGGUAUACUUCAACAUAUACAUUAUCGUGGGGGAUAACGUCGGGAAACUUACGCAUAUACCGCAUACGACCUACGGGAGAAAGCAGGGCAUUUUCGGCCUUUGUGCGUCUGAAUGCGACGAUGUCGGAUUAGCUAGUUGGCGGGGUAAAGGCCCACCAAGGCGACGAUCCGUAGCUGGUCUGAGAGGAUGAUCAGCCACACUGGAACUGAGACACGGUCCAGACUCCUACGGGAGGCAGCAGUGGGGAAUUUUGGACAAAGGGCGCAAGCCUGAUCCAGCCAUGCCGCGUGGGUGAAGAAGGCCUUCGGGUUGUAAAGCCCUUUUGUUAGGAAAGAAAAGCGGCAGGUUAAUACCCCGCUGUGCUGACGGUACCCAAAGAAUAAGCACCGGCUAACUUCGUG